rnacentral:rRNA from 1 species
UACGAAGGGGGCUAGCGUUGCUCGGAAUCACUGGGCGUAAAGCGCACGUAGGCGGACUCUUAAGUCGGGGGUGAAAUCCUGGAGCUCAACUCCAGAACUGCCUUUGAUACUGGCGAUCUCGAGUCCGGGAGAGGUGAGUGGAACUGCGAGUGUAGAGGUGAAAUUCGUAGAUAUUCGCAAGAACACCAGUGGCGAAGGCGGCUCACUGGCCCGGUACUGACGCUGAGGUGCGAAAGCGUGGGGAGCAAACAGG